AGUCGCUCCGUCACGGACUUGUGUGGGUGUGGUCCUCUCUCUGGAUGUCGGAACUUGCACUUGUUCCCGGGAAGGAGGAUCUCUCGAAGAUUUGGAAAAGGAGGUUACCUUGGCGUAAGGACACGGCGGCGCCGGAUCGACCUUUCUGGGCGCGAUCCUGAGGAAAU